GCUAGGCGAGAAGCCUGCUUUUCAAACAGCUUAGUGGCGGACGGGUGAGUAACACGUAGGCAACCUGCCUGUAAGCCGGGGAUAACUCACGGAAACGUGAGCUAAGACCGGAUAGUCAGGGGAAGGGCAUCCUUCCCUUGGGAAAGACGGAGCAAUCUGUCACUUACAGAUGGGCCUGCGGCGCAUUAGCUAGUUGGUGGGGUAACGGCUCACCAAGGCGACGAUGCGUAGCCGACCUGAGAGGGUGAACGGCCACACUGGGACUGAGACACGGCCCAGACUCCUACGGGAGGCAGCAGUAGGGAAUCUUCGGCAAUGGACGAAAGUCUGACCGAGCAAUGCCGCGUGAGUGAGGAAGGCCUUCGGGUCGUAAAGCUCUGUUGCCAGGGAAGAACGCUUGAGAGAGUAACUGCUCUUAAGGUGACGGUACCUGAGAAGAAAGCCCCGGCUAACUACGUGCCAGCAGCCGCGGUAAUACGUAGGGGGCAAGCGUUGUCCGGAAUUAUUGGGCGUAAAGCGCGCGCAGGCGGCUAUUUAAGUCUUAUGUAUAACCCCAAGGCUCAACCUUGGAUCGCAUGGGAAACUGGGUGGCUUGAGUGUAGGAGAGGAAAGUGGAAUUCCACGUGUAGCGGUGAAAUGCGUAGAGAUGUGGAGG
rnacentral:rRNA from 1 species